GAGUGGGAUGCUGGCCGUGGUGAAUAUGGUGAUCCUGCUAAUGCUGGGACCACUCAAAGGUUAGUUUUAAAUUCGUAGUAGAAGGGGCUAAUUUGUCUCCGCAGAAUUUCUGGAAGCUAUUUCUCAUUGAUUUUGACUUCUUCUUAGUUGAUCUUAUUCUCAAUAAAUGCAUCAUCAAUCUAUUUAUCGGCUAUCUUAUUAAAUCUGCAUAUAUUAUCGAGUAAUGUACACAUGUGAUCUACCAGCUGAAAUAUAUCAAUCCAGAUUGUAAUGGCUCCAUUAUAUCUAAUUACUUCUCAUUUUGUCAUCUUACAUGGCUAAGUUUCUUUUGCAGAG
rnacentral:lncRNA from 1 species